AGAGGCGGCGUGGAGAGCGCUGGGAGCGGUUGCGGCGUGCGGGGAGCUGAGGUAUAGCUGUGACUUCUGCCCUGCCAGGCCGCGCACGAGCUGGCUGACCCGGUUUGUAAAAAUGGAAUUUCAAGCAGUAGUGAUGGCAGUAGGUGGAGGAUCUCGGAUGACAGACCUAACUUCCAGCAUUCCCAAACCUCUGCUUCCAGUUGGGAACAAACCUUUAAUUUGGUACCCAUUGAACCUGCUUGAGCGUGUUGGAUUUGAAGAAGUCAUUGUGGUUACAACCAGGGAUGUUCAAAAGGCUCUAUGUGCAGAAUUCAAGAUGAAAAUGAAGCCAGAUAUUGUGUGUAUUCCUGAUGAUGCUGACAUGGGAACUGCAGAUUCUUUGCGCUACAUAUAUCCAAAACUUAAGAUGGCCCUCAGCCUUGAUGAAAUUGUGUUCUUGAUAGAGAUGUUCCUGAUGUACCUGAUAUUUCUAGAAGGCCUCUGCUCGGGAGCUAAAGUCCAACAUGAUCUCUUGUCGCAGUCCUGCCAAUACCAUAGCUUUAUAUUUCUCUGAUGGACUGAGUUCUGUAUGGACAAUAUCUAGCUUUCCAGAAAGGGUACUGUUUCAGGCAGCACAGAUAGCUGGUGAGCGACUAAACUCACCACUGCCAUGCUGAUCACAGAAGAUGUGAGAGCAGGCAGUGACCCAUGCAUAGCCAUAGAGUUUGAUGCGACACUUUUGAUAAUUACAAAGCAGCAUGUCUUCACACAG
rnacentral:sRNA from 1 species